ACCUGGGGUGCCGGUCGAACAUGAGGGGCAGGAACUCGUCCACGGGGAUCAUCUUGCCCAGGGGCUCGGCCGCCAGCAGCUUGCGGGCGCCGCGCAGGGACAGCGCGUAGCCCAGGCUCCAGUAGGAGUAGCCCGGGCGCAGCAGCUGCCGCACGCCCGGCACGGCGCCCUCCGAGCGCUCCGGCUCCAGCCGCUUCCGGCCCAGGUAGCUGUGGGGCCAGCAGGGUUAUUUCAGUCAAUGGGGUCAUUGGGAUCAAUGGGGCCAAUGGGAUCAUUGGUAUCAUUGCGAUGAAUGGGAUCAAUGGGAUCAAUGGGGUCAUUGGGAUCAAUGGGAUCAAUGGGACAGGGACAGACGCCGCGCUCCGAGCGCUCCGGCUCCAGCCGCUUCCGGCCCAGGUAGCUGUGGGGUCGUUUCAGUCAAUGGGAUCAAUGGGGUCAUGGGGAUCAAUGGGAUCAAUGGAGUCAAUGGGGCCAAUGGGAUCAUUGCAAUGAAUGAGAUCAACGGGAUUAAUGGGAUAAUUGGAGUCAUGGGGAUCAAUGGGGUCAUUGGGAUCAAUGGGAUGAAGGAAGUCAAUGGGGUUAAUGGGAUCAGUGAGGUCAUUGGGAUCAAUGGGAUCAAUGCAGUCAAUGAGGUCAUUGGGAUCAAUGGGAUUAA
rnacentral:lncRNA from 1 species